UGCUAGGUUUUGGAUUUCUUGUGUUCGUGCCCCAGUAGAGUUUGGUUGGGAUCUAAUGGACCAGUACGAGAAGGUGGAGAAGAUUGGGGAAGGGACCUACGGAGUGGUGUACAAGGCUCGAGACCGUCCGACCAAUGAGAUGAAAGCUCUGAAAAAGAUUCGCCUGGAGCAAGAAGAUAGGGAGUUCCCAGCACAACCAUAAGAGAGAUCUUCCUCCACCCAGGCCCUGUUUUUGCUUCCAUCUUAUGUGUGGAAGUAAGAUCAAGAAAGUGUUGGAUCUGCUGGUGUGAAAUCACUAAGAGCAUUGGCAUUCCUUGGAGUAGGUGUUUCUGGUAUAUUGAGCCUGGCUACUUUGGCAUCUGCUGAUGAAGCUGAGCAUGGCCUACCAUGUCCAAUCUAUCCUUGGCCUCACAAAGGCAUUCUUAGUUCCUAUGACCACGC